GGACUACUGGGGUAUCUAAUCCUGUUUGCUCCCCACGCUUUCGUGCCUCAGCGUCAGUAUCGGGCCAGUGAGCCGCCUUCGCCACUGGUGUUCUUGCGAAUAUCUACGAAUUUCACCUCUACACUCGCAGUUCCACUCACCUCUCCCGAACUCAAGAUCCUCAGUAUCAAAGGCAGUUCUGGAGUUGAGCUCCAGGAUUUCACCCCUGACUUAAAGACCCGCCUACGCACCCUUUACGCCCAGUGAUUCCGAGCAACGCUAGCCCCCUUCGUAUUACCGCGGCUGCUGGCAC
rnacentral:rRNA from 1 species